rnacentral:rRNA from 1 species
AGCCUGAUCCAGCCUGCCGCGUGCAGGAUAGACUGCCUUCUGGGUUGUAAACUGCUUUUGCCAGGGGAUAAAAAGUCCCUGCUGUGGGAAAAUUGAAGGGACCUGGUGAAUAAGCCACGGCUUACUACGUGCCAGCAGCCGCGGUUAUUCCUAAGUGGCAAGCCUUGACCGGAUUUAUUGGGUUUAAAGGGUGCGUAGGCGGUCCAUUAAGUCAGAGGUGAAAUGCUGCAGCUUAACUGUCGAGGUGCCAUUGAUACUGGAGGACUUGAGUACAGACGAGGUAGGCGGAAUUUGACCGUGUAGCGGUGAAAUGCUUAGAUAUCGUCAAGAACACCGAUAGCGAAGGCAGCUUACUGGACUGUAACUGACGCUGAGGCACGAAAGUGUGGGGAUCAAACAGGAUUAGAUACCCUGGUAGUCCACACUGUAAACGAUGAUUACUCGUAUGUUUGGCGAUAC